rnacentral:rRNA from 1 species
CAAUAGCGUAUAUUAACGUUGUUGCAGUUAAAAAGCUCGUAGUUGGAUUUCUGGUCGGAAGCUCCUGUCCUCUGAUGAGCGUACAAGUGCGUCCUACCAUCCUUCUGUUAACCUUUAAGGCUUUCGCGGCUUUCUAGGGGCUCAGAUAUUUUACCUUGAGAAAAUUAGAGUGUUUCAGGCAGGCUAGCGCCGGAAUACAUUAGCAUGGAAUAAUGGAAUAGGACUUUUGCCUCUUCUGUUGGUCAUGAGGCUCGAGUAAUGAUUAAUAGGGAUAGUUGGGGGCAUUAGUACUUAACUGUCAGAGGUGAAAUUCUCGGAUUUGUUAAAGACUAACUUAUGCGAAAGCAUUUGUCAAGGAUGUUUUCAUUAA